rnacentral:lncRNA from 1 species
UUUUUGGCUCCUGCAUUCCUCCCAUUUUCUGCCCAGAGGAGAACCAUGCCUCUUUUGUGGAGGAGGGCCAGAGAAGACCAAGAAAUGCCAGCCCCGAGAAAGAAAGAACUUAAAAUGAUUCUAAUGUAGCUGAGGAGAGGCGCUGCCUUUCACAACAAAUGUGAGGCAAAUCAGUCACCCUUCACGGCUGGUUCUCAGAGGAGGGAAUUUGUGCUCUGAGGCUAGGAGUCUCAGCUGAGAUUUUCAUGCAUUUCAAGGUGGAGAAAACUUUUUUAGUUAAAAACUGUCUUAGUGUUGAUCCAAAGGGAAAUUGAGCCAAGUGAGCUACAAAGUAAUUUUUGACCUUGGGGAAGUGGAAGGCAAAACCCAGCCAGCCCGGAGGCCUGGAGGGAGGGCUGAGAGGGUCAUUGUGUGCCUGCAGGUUCUGUUCACUCGGAUAAGAUGGUGUUUAAAGGUAGUGUUUACCAAGCUGUGGCCUCUGAGGGAGCAUAACGGUUUCCAGAAGGGGUAGGGGGGUCUUUGUGGUAUGCACGGCAGAAAACCUCUGACUUCUUCAGGGCCUUCCAUGAAGGAGAGCUUCAAAGAGUCUAGGCUCUGGAGCUCCCUCGAAUACAAACGAAUGGUAUAUUUUCUUCAUAGAAGUGCUCUGACCUUGGAAGCAAUAGUUGAGGCAAGAAGAAGUAGAAAAAACAAGAACAAUUUCCUUGAAGAGAAUUCUGUAAUAUAUUGUCAGGUCCAGAACUGCCUGAGAAUGAGUAGCAGCUGUGUAAUACAGAGGGAAAAGCACGAGCCCCAGAGUCCCAGAGUUGUGAAAAGGUCUUUAUUUCACCCGCUUUUAGGAGUAAUAAUUUUUCUGGUUACUCGAUUGCAAGUUGAGAGGUUUUUUCCUCAGUGUGAUUCCACUGACUCUGGCCUCCGUCGUCCGCUGGGAAGUCCACGGUCAGUCUGAAGGCCCCGCCUUGGCAGCAUGGCGUGCCAAGCAGUGCCAUGUCCACACCCGGGAUCCAAACUGGCAAACCCCGGGCCGCCGAGAAGCAGAACGUGCGAACUUAACCGCUGUGCCACCGGGGCAGACCCCUAGCUGGAACUCACCUCGCAGCGGCCCUGUUUACUCACCUACCAGCUGCCUUCCUUAGAACCAGUUUUGUUCCUGUUCAGAAGGAAACCAGGCAGAGUUGGGAAAAUAUUUCCUCAGCCAGCUCCGCAGCCCCACUGUCUGGCGGAGGCCAUCUGGCCGGGAUGCACUCCGAGGGAGUAAACGCAGAAUUGCCCUCUCCCCGCACGACAGGGCAGAGAAGACGGCAGGUCCCAAGACGGGCUGCUACUGUGCUGAUUCUAACUCAUCUCCGGAAGUCCCCAGAGUCCAGCAGUGUGCUGGUGAUGUUUCACCACCGGCUCCCUGGGAGGGUGGAGGUGGGUGUUGAUCUCCAUGGACAAUUUGGAACUACCAAAAGUGAACUCACGGAACACGGAGUUAGCAAGAGAUGCACAGUAGCACUCCACUGUGCAAGAUUUCUACCAUACGGAUAUCAUAGAUGUACAUGACCCCAAGAGCAUAGAUAAGAAAAUGCAGUAAAAUAAUUAGCAAGCGAU